GAUGAACGCUGGCGGCGUGCCUAAUACAUGCAAGUCGAGCGAACAGACGAGGAGCUUGCUCCUCUGACGUUAGCGGCGGACGGGUGAGUAACACGUGGAUAACCUACCUAUAAGACUUGGAUAACUUCGGGAAACCGGAGCUAAUACCGGAUAAUAUAUUUAACCGCAUGGUUCAAUAGUGAAAGACGGUUUUGCUGUCACUUAUAGAUGGAUCCGCGCCGCAUUAGCUAGUUGGUAAGGUAACGGCUUACCAAGGCAACGAUGCGUAGCCGACCUGAGAGGGUGAUCGGCCACACUGGAACUGAGACACGGUCCAGACUCCUACGGGAGGCAGCAGUAGGGAAUCUUCCGCAAUGGGCGAAAGCCUGACGGAGCAACGCCGCGUGAGUGAUGAAGGUCUUCGGAUCGUAAAACUCUGUUAUUAGGGAAGAACAAAUGUGUAAGUAACUAUGCACGUCUUGACGGUACCUAAUCAGAAAGCCACGGCUAACUACGUG
rnacentral:rRNA from 1 species